rnacentral:tRNA from 1 species
GAGCCGGUGGUGUAGUGGGUAGCACGUAGCGUCCGGAUGUGAAGGAGAGUGGUUCAAUUCCCUCCCGGCCCA